UACAGAGGAUGCAAGCGUUAUCCGGAAUGAUUGGGCGUAAAGCGUGUGUAGGUGGCUUUUUAAGUCCGCCGUCAAAUCCCAGGGCUCAACCCUGAAUCGGCCGUCGAUACUCCCGGGCUUGAGCACUGUAGAGGCAGAUGGAAUUCCGGGUGUAGCGGUGGAAUGCGUAGAGAUCCGGAAGAACACCGGUGGCGAAGGCGGUCUGCUGGGCAGUAGCUGACACUGAGGCGCGACAGCGUGGGGAGCAAACAGG
rnacentral:rRNA from 1 species